rnacentral:rRNA from 1 species
AAUAGAUACCCAGGUAGUCCCAGCCCUAAACGAUGGAUACUAGGUGUCGGGGGUAUCGACCCCUCCGGUGCCGCCGCUAACGCAGUAAGUAUCCCGCCUGGGGAGUACGGGCCGCAAGGUUGAAACUCAAAGGAAUUGACGGGGGCCCGCACAAGCGGUGGAGCAUGUUGUUUAAUACGUCACUAACCGUAGAACCUUACCAGGGUUUGACAUGGCGUGAAAUCCUAUGAAAGUAGGCUUCCCCGCAAGGGGGACACGCACACAGGUGUUGCAUGGCUGUCGUCAGCUCGUGUCGUGAGAUGUUGGGUUAAGUCCCGCAACGAGCGCAACCCUCAUCCCAUGUUGCCAGCGAGUAAAGUCGGGAACUCUUGGGAAACUGCCGGGGUAACUCGGAGGAAGGUGAGGACGACGUCAAGUCAGCAUGGCCCUUACACCCUGGGCUACAAACAUGCUACAAUGGACGGUAAACAGAGGGAUCCGAGACCGUGAGGUGGAGGCAAUCUCAGAAAUCCGUUCUCAGUUCGGAUUGCAGGCUGCAACUCGCCUGC